rnacentral:rRNA from 1 species
AUACGGAGGGUGCGAGCGUUAAUCGGAAUUACUGGGCGUAAAGCGUGCGUAGGCGGUUUGCUAAGUCAGAUGUGAAAGCCCCGGGCUUAACCUGGGAACUGCAUUUGAUACUGGCAGACUAGAGUAUGAUAGAGGGGGGUAGAAUUCCUGGUGUAGCGGUGAAAUGCGUAGAUAUCAGGAGGAAUACCAGUGGCGAAGGCGGCCCCCUGGAUCAAUACUGACGCUGAGGUACGAAAGCGUGGGGAGCAAACAGGAGUAGAUACCCUAGUAGUCC